rnacentral:rRNA from 1 species
AUUGAACGCUGGCGGCAGGCCUAACACAUGCAAGUCGAACGGUAACAUUUCUAGCUUGCUAGAAGAUGACGAGUGGCGGACGGGUGAGUAAUGCUUGGGAACUUGCCUUUGCGAGGGGGAUAACAGUUGGAAACGACUGCUAAUACCGCAUAAUGUCUUCGGACCAAACGGGGCUCCGGCUCCGGCGCAAAGAGAGGCCCAAGUGAGAUUAGCUAGUUGGUAAGGUAACGGCUUACCAAGGCGACGAUCUCUAGCUGUUCUGAGAGGAAGAUCAGCCACACUGGGACUGAGACACGGCCCAGACUCCUACGGGAGGCAGCAGUGGGGAAUAUUGCACAAUGGGGGAAACCCUGAUGCAGCCAUGCCGCGUGUGUGAAGAAGGCCUUCGGGUUGUAAAGCACUUUCAGUUGUGAGGAAAAGUUAGUAGUUAAUACCUGCUAGCCGUGACGUUAACAACAGAAGAAGCACCGGCUAACUCCGUG